rnacentral:rRNA from 1 species
AUUGAACGCUGGCGGCAGGCCUAACACAUGCAAGUCGAACGGUAACAGGAAGCAGCUUGCUGCUUCGCUGACGAGUGGCGGACGGGUGAGUAAUGUCUGGGAAGCUGCCUGAUGGAGGGGGAUAACUACUGGAAACGGUAGCUAAUACCGCAUAAUGUCGCAAGACCAAAGAGGGGGACCUUCGGGCCUCUUGCCAUCGGAUGUGCCCAGAUGGGAUUAGCUUGUUGGUGGGGUAACGGCUCACCAAGGCGACGAUCCCUAGCUGGUCUGAGAGGAUGACCAGCCACACUGGGACUGAGACACGGUCCAGACUCCUACGGGAGGCAGCAGUGGGGAAUAUUGCACAAUGGGCGCAAGCCUGAUGCAGCCAUGCCGCGUGUAUGAAGAAGGCCUUCGGGUUGUAAAGUACUUUCGGCGGGGAGGAAGGGAGUAAAGUUAAUACCUUUGCUCAUUGACGUUACCCGCAGAAGAAGCACCGGCUAACUCCGUG